GGUGAACGCUGGCGGUAGGCCUAACACAUGCAAGUCGAACGGCAGCACAGUAAGAGCUUGCUCUUACGGGUGGCGAGUGGCGGACGGGUGAGGAAUACAUCGGAAUCUACUUUUUCGUGGGGGAUAACGUAGGGAAACUUACGCUAAUACCGCAUACGACCUACGGGUGAAAGCAGGGGAUCUUCGGACCUUGCGCGAUUGAAUGAGCCGAAGUCGGAUUAGCUAGUUGGCGGGGUAAAGGCCCACCAAGGCGACGAUCCGUAGCUGGUCUGAGAGGAUGAUCAGCCACACUGGAACUGAGACACGGUCCAGACUCCUACGGGAGGCAGCAGUGGGGAAUAUUGGACAAUGGGCGCAAGCCUGAUCCAGCCAUACCGCGUGGGUGAAGAAGGCCUUCGGGUUGUAAAGCCCUUUUGUUGGGAAAGAAAAGCAGCAGGUUAAUACCCCGCUGUUCUGACGGUACCCAAAGAAUAAGCACCGGCUAACUUCGUG
rnacentral:rRNA from 1 species